CAGCAGGCCCUGGCCUAGAGUAAGUGCUCAGGAAAUGUACUUCCCUUCAUGUAGAGGCUCUGCAGGGAGAUAAUGAGAAGGAAGGGCUCCUGGCCAGGCCACUGGCUGUGCCCCUAGAUAUGGGGUCCUAGCAACCCCCAUAAUCUCUAUUUGCUUCAAUUUCCUCCCCUAGGACCUAGGAAUAAUGGUGAUGCUUAUGUCCUAGGGUCACUGUGAGUAUUAAGGGAGUUAAUAUUUGUCAAGUACUUAAGACAGAGCCCAGAACUUAGUAGACAUUGCCUCUGCCAAAAUACAGGUGCGCAUCUGUAUGCACUCGGGUGGGUGCAGACCUUGUGUCCUUGAAGACCUGGAUUUCAAGUCCUGGUUCUUUUUUUUUUUUUUUUUGCCAAAAUAUUUUAUUUUUUUGGUUUUGUUUGUUUUUUACUGUUUGGGUCACCUUGGAGAAACACCACCCUGUCUAAGCCUUGGUUUCCUUACUUGUGAAACAGAACUAAAACACCUACCCCUAGAGCUACUUGAGAACGAAAUGAGGUGCACAGGAGAGCACAGGAUUAGAUACUGAGCACGUGGGCCCUGCUAUUACACAUGGCACCAGCCACCUUCUUCCUUACCUGCCUAUGCCCACCGGGCUGACCUCUCCAUUGCUGCUGACACCAAGAGGAGCCUUUGGGGGGAUGCCCGCCAUGAUGGUAGCCACCACUGUCUGUUCCAAGGCUGCACCUGCCCAGGGUAAGGAAUGCUGACAGCUGCCGGACCCUGGGCUGCUGUGCUGCUGCUUUCUGUUACCUUGGGAUGUUUGAGUAAAGACCUAGUUAAGUUUUUACUUGCCCUUUUAUUCCAAUGCCCUCACCUUAGGGCUCAGGCACAAGUCCCCAUGAGCUAGGUCGGAAGGCAGCUGAGUGACAGGCAGUAUGCUGCUUCCAAAAUCCACCAGGACCACCCUGAACCCCACCUUAAACCUGGUCCCCUGAAACUGAACUUAGUAGGUGUUCUCCACUCUCGCCUCCUGUGGAGCGACUCUUUCCUAGGAGGUUCCUGUCCUUCGGGGGCACAGACCCAUGGGGGGCCCACCCUACAAACCAUCCAGGCAUUCCCAGACUUACCUCUAAAUCCUUAUGGCAGGAGGGGUGUUAACUAGCUUAAGUUCAGGCUCCGGAUACAAAGCAAUGAGCGAAUACAAUUGACGAAUGAAUGAAUGAAGUAGGGGAGGAACGGGAGGAAAACAACAAUAUAAGGAGAUAGUAAAAAGAAAAAUAUAAAAGAUUUUAGAAAGCAGAUCUUAAUAGAAAUUCUAAAGGCUCUCUCAUUCAAUUGUGGUGGAGGGGGAGGGUGGAGGACGAGGUGGGGGAGAUCCCACCACUUCAGUGUAAGCAUCAGUAGCUAGGUGUACAAAAAAACACAAGCAGAUCAGAGGGCUAACGCUUUCUGAGGCUAAGUCACUGUGCUCACUCCUGGCUCUGAGGACAUUAGCGAAGGCCUGGGAAGGCAGGCAAACGGGAGCAAUUUCUGAUCCCUUAUCAACUGAUCCCUUGGGUAAGACAUCCUGAUACUGGGGAUCUCACCAGAACAUCAAACUGCAAUGAUCUUCCUUAAGCUUACUUUCAGAUAUGCUGCUCGGAAGAUGGAUAACUUCCUGGAAGAGGGAUUCCAGACAGUUAAGCAAUAAAUUUGAAAUGCCGGAGGCUCUUGAAUGCUGCCCUGUAGCUCAGCAACCCUAAAGCAGCACAGCGCCUCACAUCCAAAGCCUGGAAAGGAUCUGAGGAAGAAAGAAUAUGAACCAACAGGCCCUCUUUCUCAGUCCUGCUGGUGAGACAAGUCGUCCCAUAGUUCCUGAGUACGGAAAGGACCAAGAACAAAUCCAAAGAUUUCUCAGCAGCUCCUUUGACCUGUUGCUUCAUAUUUGCAAGACCUAAGACUUUCGUAGGAGCAGCGGGUCAAGUAUUUAUUGCACAACACACUGGCCUCCAGCACAGUGCACUCUGUGCAUGCGGCACCGUGCAGUGUAAGAGGAAAGUAAAUAGGAACAAGGGAGAGAACGCAAGCCUGUCCAAGGGCGCAUGUGCAUACAGCCUCGUCAGUGUAAGAGCACAAAGUGAACACAGAGAGAGAAUGUGAGCCUGCCCCAGGCAGCUUAAAUACUGGACUCAGCCUGGCCACAGUCAGGGGAAGGGUUGGCUGCAGGCCCCACCUUGCUUCUUCUCCAUCUGUCCCUGGACUGGCUUUGGAUGAGUCCACCUUGCAGGUGCCCCCUGCAUAUGCCUCAUCCCCUUUCCUUUAGGAACAGGUGAGGCUCCACUUGAGAACAGAUACAGUGAUUUAGUCUUAAAUGGCAUUUGACAGCUGUUGGAUUAAUGAAUAAAUGGACAAACAAAAAGCUGGCUCUAAAGGUGCACGUUUUAAAAAUAGUAGUUUCUCGGUGCUCCCUUCCUGGCUCAGCAGGUAACAAACCUGACUAGGAACCAUGAGGAUGAGGGUUCCAUACCUGGCUCUGCCCAGUGGGUUAAGGAUCCAGCAUUGCUGUGAGCUGUGGUGUAGAUUGCAGAUUCGGCUCAGAUCCCGUGUUGCUGUGGCUGUGGUGUAGGCUGGCAGCUGUAGCUCCAACUCGACCCCUAGCCUGGGAACUUACAUACGUCGUGGAUGUGGCUCUAAAAAAAAGCAAUAAAAUAAAAUAAAAUAAAAAUAGUAAUUUCUCUACCUCUAUAGUAUGGGUGAGUGAAGACCAACAGCUUUUACAAUAUCUUGUUAUACUGGAGAGUUUUAAGGAAGGUAUUUUCUUGUACUUGAUUCCAGCAUUAAAUUACAGAAACUCAAGAAGCGUUUCUUUGGCCAGGGUGGGAGAAGGGGAUGGUUGGUAGGAAAGGGAGCGACUUGGAGAAGGAGAGAAGUCCAUCUUGGCAGAGUGCGGAUUGGCACAUGCCAUUCCAUUCCCACCACAGCAAUUCCCAGGUGUCAACUCCAAACGCCCAGGCAAGGCUUGCUGGAUGGAUGUGGGUACCCUGACACCACACAGCGCUUUUCUCCAGGCUCUGCUGACUCUGAGCAUUCCCUCUUUCUCACCUCUAUUUUCUGAAUGUUUGCGUCCCCCCAAAUUUACAUGUUGAAAUCCCACCCCCUAAGGAUGACAGUAUUAGGAGGUGGGGCAUUUGGGAUGCACUUAGUUAUGGGGGCAGAGCCCUCACAGAGAGGAUUAGUGCCCACAGAGAUCUCAGCCCCCUACACCAUGUGAGGACACGAUAGACGGUGCCACCUAUGGGCCAGAAAGAGGGCCCUCGCCACAACCCAAGCACACUGGCACCUUGAUCCUGGCCUUCCAGCCCCCAGAACCGUGAGAAACAAAUGUCUGGAGUUUAUAAGCCACCUGGGCUCUGGUACUUGGCUGGAACAGCCCAAAUAGACUCAGACAACGACUAUCCUCCCUCCUCUUUUCCAACUCAAACUUUGGGUCAUACUGAAAAUCUGGUUUGGCACCCACUUUCUAGAUGAAUAAGGCUGCCUGAUUUUCAGGACCUAUGGGGCCCCUUGCUAACAUAACACCCUUUUAAGAAUGAG
rnacentral:lncRNA from 9 species